ACCAGAAGAAAAAGAAAAAAAAAGGAAGAAAAGCAGGAGAAGGAGGAAAAAGAAGAGAAGGAGGAGGAAUUAUUCAUGUGUUGAAGGAAAAAUGAAUUGCCCUAGAAAAUACAGGGACUUCUGAUAGCCUGUGAUGGAAAAUGGAAAAAAGAAGUUUGGAGUACAAGGGCCAGAACAAAGACAAAAAUGUGAUUUCCUCACUCAUAUUUCCUCCUGGACUUUUUCACUGGCACAAUCCACUAGGAAGGUAAAAGG